GCGGGUGAAGUAGAGAGAAAGAAACGCACGGACGAAAUUAUUGAUUAAAAAAAGGAGAGAAGUGAGGAUAAAGUGUGUGAAGCGAGUGCUGUAUGUUGGGAUAUCAUACAGCUGGAUAAGUGUUUGCUUACUCUGGAAACUCCGAGAGACUCUACCAGAUGACCUGAAUAAAAAUCAUGCUCUCUGUCUGGCCUCCUUGAACACAUUCUGAAGAGGGUGUGGCAUUGUGCUGCUGAUGGUGCAGCUGCCUUUCAGAGUUCAGGGACCAUCACCUGGUAAGCUGGUCUACAC